rnacentral:rRNA from 1 species
UACAGGGGGGGGCAAGCGUUGUUUCGGAAUUACUGGGCGUAAAGGGCCAGUAGGCGGCCAACUAAGUCACACGUGAAAUCCCCAGCUUAACCUGGGAACUGCGUGUGAUACUGGAUGGCUUGAAUUCGGGAGAGGGAUGCAGAAUUCCAGGUGUAGCGGUGAAAUGCGUAGAUAUCUGGAGGAAUACCGAUGGCGAAGGCAGCCAUCUGGCCUAACACUGACGCUGAGGUGCGAAAGCAUGGGGAGCAAACAGG